UACAUGGGGGUGCAAACGUUGCUCGGAAUUAUUGGGCGUAAAGCGCACGUAGGCGGUUCGUUAAGUCGGAUGUGAAAGCCCUCGGCUCAACUGAGGAAGUGCACCCGAAACUGGCGAGCUUGAGUACGAAAGAGGAUCGCGGAAUUCCCGGUGUAGAGGUGAAAUUCGUAGAUAUCGGGAGGAACACCGGGUGGCGAAGGCGGCGAUCUGGGUCGAUACUGACGCUGAGGUGCGAAAGCGUGGGGAGCAAACAGG
rnacentral:rRNA from 1 species